AAGGAUUUAAGUUAACAUAAACUACCAACCUUCAAAGUUGCCAAUAAAGUCUGCUUUAAGCCUUA
rnacentral:tRNA from 1 species